AACGAACGCUGGCGGGAGGCUUAACACAUGCAAGUCGAACGCCCCGCAAGGGGAGUGGCAGACGGGUGAGUAACGCGUGGGAAUCUACCCAGAUCUACGGAACAACAGUUGGAAACGACUGCUAAUACCGUAUACGCCCUACGGGGGAAAGAUUUAUCGGAUUUGGAUGAGCCCGCGUUGGAUUAGCUAGUUGGUGGGGUAAUGGCCUACCAAGGCGACGAUCCAUAGCUGGUCUGAGAGGAUGAUCAGCCACACUGGGACUGAGACACGGCCCAGACUCCUACGGGAGGCAGCAGUGGGGAAUAUUGGACAAUGGGCGCAAGCCUGAUCCAGCCAUGCCGCGUGAGUGAUGAAGGCCUUAGGGUUGUAAAGCUCUUUCAGUAGGGAAGAUAAUGACGGUACCUACAGAAGAAGCCCCGGCUAACUUCGUGCCAGCCGCCGCGGUAACAC
rnacentral:rRNA from 1 species